UCCUACGGGAGGCAGCAGUGAGGAAUAUUGGACAAUGGGCGAGAGCCUGAUCCAGCCAUGCCGCGUGCAGGAAGACUGCCCUAUGGGUUGUAAACUGCUUUUACAGAGGAAGAACCACCCCCACGUGUGGGGGUUUGACGGUACUCUGCGAAUAAGGAUCGGCUAACUCCGUGCCAGCAGCCGCGGUAAUACGGAGGAUCCAAGCGUUAUCCGGAAUCAUUGGGUUUAAAGGGUCCGUAGGCGGAUAAAUAAGUCAGUGGUGAAAGUCUGCAGCUCAACUGUAGAAUUGCCAUUGAUACUGUUUAUCUUGAGUUAUUAUGAAGUGGUUAGAAUGAGUAGUGUAGCGGUGAAAUGCAUAGAUAUUACUCAGAAUACCGAUUGCGAAGGCAGAUCACUAAUAAUCGACUGACGCUGAUGGACGAAAGCGUAGGUAGCGAACAGGAUUAGAUACCCUGGUAGUCUACGCCGUAAACGAUGGUUACUAGCUGUUCGGCCUAAUUGAGGGCUGAGUGGUUAAGCGAAAGUGAUAAGUAACCCACCUGGGGAGUACGUUCGCAAGAAUGAAACUCAAAGGAAUUGACGGGGGCCCGCACAAGCGGUGGAGCAUGUGGUUUAAUUCGAUGAUACGCGAGGAACCUUACCAGGGCUUAAAUGUAGUCUGACAGGGCUGGAAACAGCUUUUUCUUCGGACAGAUUAUAAGGUGCUGCAUGGUUGUCGUCAGCUCGUGCCGUGAGGUGUCAGGUUAAGUCCUAUAACGAGCGCAACCCCUGUGGUUAGUUGCCAGCGAGUCAAGUCGGGAACUCUAGCCAGACUGCCGGUGCAAACCGCGAGGAAGGUGGGGAUGACGUCAAAUCAUCACGGCCCUUACGUCCUGGGCCACACACGUGCUACAAUGGUAGGGACAGAGAGCAGCCACUUCGCGAGAAGGAGCGAAUCUACAAACCCUAUCACAGUUCGGAUCGCAGUCUGCAACUCGACUGCGUGAAGCUGGAAUCGCUAGUAAUCGGAUAUCAGCCAUGAUCCGGUGAAUACGUUCCCGGGCCUUGUACACACCGCC
rnacentral:rRNA from 1 species